CAUGAAGUCGGAAUCGCUAGUAAUCGCAGAUCAGCAAAGCUGCGGUGAAUACGUUCCCGGGCCUUGUACACACCGCCCGUCACACCGACGGGAGUCGGUCGCGCCUGAAGCCGGUGGCCUAUCAGUAAUGGGGGAGCCGUCUAUGGCGAGAUUGGUAACUGGGGUGAAGUCGUAACAAGGUACC
rnacentral:rRNA from 1 species